UACGUAGGGGGCAAGCGUUGUCCGGAUUUACUGGGUGUAAAGGGUGCUCAGGCGGAUUUGUAAGUCAGAGGUGAAACUCCGAAGCUUAACUUCGGAACUGCCUUUGAUACUGCAAGCCUGGAGUUUGAGAGAGGGUAAUGGAAUAUCUGGUGUAGCAGUGAAAUGCGUAGAUAUCAGAUAGAACACCAAUGGCGAAGGCAGUUACCUGGCUCAAUACUGACGCUAAAGCACGAAAGUGUGGGGAG
rnacentral:rRNA from 1 species